rnacentral:rRNA from 1 species
UACGUAGGGGGCAAGCGUUGUCCGGAAUCAUUGGGCGUAAAGAGCGUGUAGGCGGUCCGGUAAGUCGGCUGUGAAAGUCCAGGGCUCAACCCUGGGAUGCCGGUCGAUACUGCCGGACUAGAGUUCGGAAGAGGCGAGUGGAAUUCCCGGUGUAGCGGUGAAAUGCGCAGAUAUCGGGAGGAACACCUAUGGCGAAGGCAGCUCGGUGGGACGUUACUGACGCUGAGGAGCGAAAGCGUGGGGAGCGAACAGG